UACGUAGGGUCCGAGCGUUGUCCGGAAUUACUGGGCGUAAAGAGCUCGUAGGUGGUUUGUCGCGUUGUUCGUGAAAACUCACAGCUCAACUGUGGGCGUGCGGGCGAUACGGGCAGACUGGAGUACUGCAGGGGAGACUGGAAUUCCUGGUGUAGCGGUGAAAUGCGCAGAUAUCAGGAGGAACACCGGUGGCGAAGGCGGAUCUCUGGGCCAUUACUGACGCUGAGGAGCGAAAGCGUGGGGAGCGAACAGG
rnacentral:rRNA from 1 species